AACGAACGCUGGCGGCAUGCCUAACACAUGCAAGUCGAACGGGAUCUUGACUUCGGUCAGGUGAGAGUGGCGGACGGGUGAGUAACACGUGGGAACCUGCCUUUUGGUUCGGGAUAACCGCGGGAAACUGCGGCUAAUACCGGAUACUCCCGAGAGGGGAAAGAUUUAUCGCCAGAAGAGGGGCCCGCGUCCGAUUAGGUAGUUGGUGGGGUAAUGGCCUACCAAGCCGACGAUCGGUAGCUGGUCUGAGAGGAUGAUCAGCCACACUGGGACUGAGAUACGGCCCAGACUCCUACGGGAGGCAGCAGUGGGGAAUAUUGGACAAUGGGGGCAACCCUGAUCCAGCAAUGCCGCGUGAGUGAUGAAGGCCUUAGGGUUGUAAAGCUCUUUUGCCAGGGAAGAUGAUGACUGUACCUGGAGAAUAAGCCCCGGCAACUUCGUGCCAGCAGCCG
rnacentral:rRNA from 1 species